UACGUAGGGGGCUAGCGUUGUCCGGAAUCAUUGGGCGUAAAGAGCGUGUAGGCGGCCCGGUAAGUCCGCUGUGAAAGUCGGGGGCUCAACCCUCGAAUGCCGGUGGAUACUGUCGGGCUAGAGUGCGGAAGAGGCGAGUGGAAUUCCUGGUGUAGGCGGUGAAAUGCGCAGAUAUCAGGAGGAACACCAAUUGCGAAGGCAGCUCGCUGGGACGUAACUGACGCUGGAGACGCGAAAGCGUGGGGAGCAAACAGG
rnacentral:rRNA from 1 species